rnacentral:rRNA from 1 species
AGAUUGAACGCUGGCGGCAUGCUUUACACAUGCAAGUCGAACGGUAACAGGCCGCAAGGUGCUGACGAGUGGCGAACGGGUGAGUAAUGUAUCGGAACGCGCCCAGUCGUGGGGGAUAACGCAGCGAAAGCUGCGCUAAUACCGCAUACGAUCUAUGGAUGAAAGCGGGGGACCGUAAGGCCUCGCGCGAUUGGAGCGGCCGAUAUCAGAUUAGGUAGUUGGUGGGGUAAAGGCUCACCAAGCCAACGAUCUGUAGCUGGUCUGAGAGGACGACCAGCCACACUGGGACUGAGACACGGCCCAGACUCCUACGGGAGCAGCAGUGGGGAAUUUGGACAAUGGGCGACAAGCCUG